rnacentral:rRNA from 1 species
AUUGAACGCUGGCGGCAGGCCUAACACAUGCAAGUCGAACGAGUGGCGGACGGGUGAGUAAUGUCUGGGAAACUGCCCGCUGGAGGGGGAUAACUACUGGAAACGGUAGCUAAUACCGCAUACCAUCGGAUGUGCCCAGAUGGGAUUAGCUAGUAGGUGGGGUAACGGCUCACUUAGGCGACGAUCCCUAGCUGGUCUGAGAGGGUGACCAGCUACACUGGAACUGAGAAACGGUCCAGACUCCUACGGGAGGCAGCAGUGGGGAAUAUUGGGCAAUGGGCGAAAGCCUGAUGGAGCCAUGCCGCGUGUAUGAAGGAGGCCUUCGGGGUGUAAAGGUCUUUCGUCAGGGAGGGGGUAUGGGGAGAAGAAGCACCGGCUAACUACGUGCCAGCAGCCGCGGUAAUUC